rnacentral:rRNA from 1 species
GACGAACGCUGGCGGCGUGCUUAACACAUGCAAGUCGAACGGAAAGGCCCUGCUUUUGUGGGGUGCUCGAGUGGCGAACGGGUGAGUAACACGUGAGUAACCUGCCCUUGACUUUGGGAUAACUUCAGGAAACUGGGGCUAAUACCGGAUAGGAGCUCCUGCUGCAUGGUGGGGGUUGGAAAGUUUCGGCGGUUGGGGAUGGACUCGCGGCUUAUCAGCUUGUUGGUGGGGUAGUGGCUUACCAAGGCUUUGACGGGUAGCCGGCCUGAGAGGGUGAUCGGCCACAUUGGGACGGAGAUACGGCCCAGACUCCUACGGGACGCAGCAGUGGGGAAUAGUGCACAAUGGGCGGAAGCCUGAUGCAGCAACGCCGCGUGCGGGAUGACGGCCUUCGGGUUGUAAACCGCUUUCGCCUGUGACGAAGCGUGAGUGACGGUAAUGGGUAAAGAAGCACCGGCUAACUACGUG